CGUCUUAAAACGAGGACCAAGGAGUGGGCCAAUUCAGCGAGCGUUAGGGUGUAAGAGCCACGGCGCGCAAAAAAAGUAAAUGUAGGUGGGAAGCUUUUAGCGGCACCAUCGACCGAUCUGAGUUCGCGAGGAUUUGAGUAUGAGUUUCAUUGGUCGGACCCGAAAGUCAGUAUUCCCCCUUUAGUUUUGAAGAAAUAUACUAACAAUUUUCAAGGAAGGUGAACUUUUCUUGAAUAGGUUGAAGUCAGGUGAAAACCUGAUGGAAGACCGCAGCGGUUCUGACGUGCAAAUCGAUCGUCAAAUUUGGGAAAAGGGGCGAAAGACUAAUCGAACCUUCUAGUAGCUGGUUCCUGUCGAAGUUUCCCUCAGGAUAGCAGCAACGAUAAACAGUCUCAUGAGGUAGAGCAACGAUUAGAGGCCUUGGGGUUGAAACAACCUUAACCUAUUCUCGAACUCCGAAUAUGUGAGAAGUCCUUGUUACUUAAUGAACGUGGACAUUGGAUUACGUAUUGCC
rnacentral:rRNA from 1 species